CGGGCGAAUUUCAAUCGAUGCCACUGUGCCUCUCUUCCCUGCCCCCAAAGAAAGAAAAAGAAAAUAUCAGACCCGAAUCGAUCCCCUUCUCCUCACUGAGCUGCCGCCGCCACUCCAAACCCUCCUCGUCAACAAGCUGCCGGCCCUCUGCCCCUCCCCAUAGCUGCACCGCCUCCUCUCUCCAUCCGCUCGCUGCCUCUUCUCCCAGAGCUCCAGAAGCCGAAGCUAGCACGGCGGCCGUGGCAGCGUAGCGAGACGGCGGCGGAGCGGCAGUAGAUUUGGGCACACGCGACCAUGUUGAGCUGGAGGCUUGGGUGGACUGAGUGGCCCAUAGUGCAAUUGCACGUCGAGCUCCAUGGCAACCGCCGAACGCGAAGCUCCAUGGCAACCUCUGAAAGUUGGGCGUGACGCCGGACGUGGAAUUCAAGGAUGCCGGCUUGCCCAGGCGCUUGAUCCGUUCUACCAUGGCUGACGCCCUGUUACGCGGUUUCGUCCUGGAUGCCGUGCCAUAUUGCUUGAGGAUGGACACCUGUUGCGAAAGAGGGAGGUUUCUGCCUUUCUUGACGCCCUCAAGUUGCUCGAAGAAAUGCACAAGAGGGAGACUUUCAAGACGAUGGCCCAGAUUUUCACCAUGCUGACAUAUGGAGCUCGUGCACGUGGCUUGUUUGAUGAAAUGGAGUUGUGCGUAGUGAUUCCAAACCAUGGAGCUCACAAUUUGCUCACAGGGGCCUAUGUAUUGUGAGGGCAAGGUAUUUCCAGUUUGAAUGACGGUGAUGUUCUGAGAUGGAUCACAGGGGAAUUGGUAUGGUCAAUGUUACCUACAACACUAUGUUGUGUGAGUUUCAUAGGGUUGAUUACUUCGAGAGCAUCUAGAAGGAUAUAUAUGAAGACUAUUUGCUCAGGGCUCGUGCCAAGGACCAGGAUGACAAUGUUGCUCGUGAAGGUCUUCUGCUUAUUGCUGGGUUUUUUCUUUUCUUCCGAAAGGAGUCUCUAACUGUCUAUUGAGGAGGUAACUUGUCCUUUCCUUCCUCAUGUCAGAUUAGAUUACACUAACAUUUUUUUUGCACCUCAACAAAGAUGUCAGGUGUUUGUAUUUAUGUUCAUCAGGUGAUUCAUCCAAACGCUCAUCUCCGAAGUACAAGAUCUAUUUAUUUUAUAUUCUUUCCUGUAUAUGAUAUGUAUCUUUGCUUUUGUAGAAUAAAAAAGCAGGAAGGUAGUAAAAUGAUGGUUUUAUACAUGAUAGAUUUCAUAUAGAGGGUGCAAGAGCUACACUUAAACUUGGUAGCAGAAAGCUUAGGUUAUACUAUCUUGUUAGAGUUUUGCCUUAAAAAAAACCAAGUAUGUUACCAUGAAUCCAAAAUUUCUUUCAAGGGUAAGUUUUCUUGAUUGCUUUUUCGAUACAAAUGUUGAUAAGAGGGUACCUGCCUUUUCUAUAAUUUGUCAUACGCUUGUUCUCUUUCACUCUAUCAUUUGUUCAUCAUAAGAGUAUUAUAUUUUGAAGUCCUCGAUCAGGCUGUGAGCUACUCAAGAAUAGAGGCAAGUCGAUCAAAUAGAUCUCUCAUUAUACUUUUUACCUUGUUUUUCCUGCAAGUAACUCAAUUUUUUUUGUGUGUUGAUGUAGGCUUUUAGUUUGUAUAAGAGAAGUUUUACAAUGCCCUUUGAAACUUGCCUUUUUCCUUCUUUUCUUUUCGGAAAAAAGAAUAGUUGUUAUGGAUGUACAUUCGUCAUUGUUCAUCGUAGCAAAGUAUGGACAUAAAACAAAAUUUGAAUAGUUUAGUGCUACAAUUUAAUGUGAAGUUUGCCUGCGUGUUACUACAUAAUAGCAAAAUGGAACGGUUUGUCAACUAUGUUUUGAAAAAGAAAAAUCAGUCGCUGAAUGAACGUGCUUAACCUGUAUUUGACACUAGCGUGAUCGUAACAAGGCAUUUCUUCUGCUGAAUGAAUAUGAAUCUCAAGGAACCAAUUAUGACUGAUUUAUUAAAGUUAAUUCAUUGAUUUGGGUUUUAUCCAUGGAUUGUGCACUGCCCAUAUUAUAGAUUAAGCUCCUAGACUGGUCGGACUGGAUGUCUUAGAUUGUUUCUAAUUAUUACUUUUACAAAAAUAUACUGCAGUACUGAUCAGCCGACAUGUAUAAAUAACUGUGGUGUGUUGACCCUCUUAGUCAGGAUGGUAUGGACAGUGGGCAGUCAAGAAGGCAUCUCAGUUUAACAUCAAGAAAGGACGACAUUAAUUAUUUUUAUGGAAUCUAAUUGCCAGGCAGUCACAUGUAUUGUAUGUUUUAGUAGAAGAAAACAAAGACCAUAUUAUGUGAAAUUACAAUCGUGAGCCUUGGAAUAUUACAAAAAGUUCAGUGCAUAUGUGUUUAUCAAAUUAUGAGGAAAAGUACAGUAUCGCAAAAUCCAAUUUUUUUUUUCUGUUUUUGAAGCAAUGUUCGACAUCCAGUUUUUCUAUUUUUGGAUCAAUGUUCAACAUCCAAUUUUUUUUCUGUUUUUCUGCUGUUGUUGAGAAGGUGCUAUUCAAGGUCAGAAUGGUAGAGUGCUUCUAAAGUCAUAUAUUGUCCAUGUAAAGAUUAUGGUAACAAGGCAUAAAAGUAGUUCAUUGUUGCUAAGUCGUCAUAUGUAGACAGUUUAAACCGCUAGAUAAAAUAAUCAUGCUUC